rnacentral:rRNA from 1 species
CGGGAAGAGCUCAAAUUUAAAAUCUGGCGUCCUCCGGGCGUCCGAGUUGUAAUCUAUAGAAGUGUUUUCCGUGGUGGACCGUGUCCAAGUUCCUUGGAAAAGGAUAUCAGAGAGGGUGACAAUCCCGUCCUUGACACGACAACCAUUGCUCUGUGAUACACUUUCUAC